rnacentral:lncRNA from 1 species
ACAUAAACACAUUAGAGCUCUCUCCAACUAACAUUCCAACUUAUCAAAAUACAACAACUACUCAAGAACAACACAAUUUAAUAUCAAUAAGAUCUCUAACCAGAGUCUAACAAGAGUGUUCACAAUAGAGCAAGUUUAAUUCAAAAUAUAGUCCAUAAACAAUUACAUAAUUUAAAAAAAAAAAAAUCUAUUAGAACAUGUUCCACUAACCUAACACAACCAAUGAUAACAAAAUCCUCUAAGUUGCUCCAAAAUUUAUUGGGGCAUCUUCAAGCCCUCUCUAUCCCAUCCACUGAUCAUCAAGAGUUACAUCUGCAUCUAAAAAGAUUUAAGAAGAAAGGGGUGAGUAUUCCACAUUGCUUAGUAGGGUGUCUUAUACCCAAGGGGUUAAUUGAAAUUACUAAGGUUCAAGUUAACAUAAAAUAAACAUUUCAUCAUAAUUGAUCAACUCAAAUAUUUUAAUUUAUAUAAUUAUAACAAUUUAACAAUUUUUAACAAUUAAAUAAAAUGUAUGUGGAUAUGUGACACACAAUCAUACAGUGCACUGUCGUUCUCAAGCUUUCACCGAAGGAUACGCAUUCGUACCCAAAUACACUCCCCAUUUGAAGUCUUUCCAAGGUAGAUUUUUGGGUCUUUCACCCUAGGGAUCUCACUUCCUUCUUAAUUCGCUUCUUAUGGACCUUUACUUUUCAUUACUAUUUUAUUUUUUUCAUUUCAUGCACCUUUCACAAUUUUUAUUUUUCCUUCACACAACCAUAAUGUUUUUUUUUCAAUAAAUAAACACCAAUAUAUUAGCAAAGGCAAACGCCGCGAAGCAUACAGGGAGUAUACGAGGCGACAAAGGCCUCACAACAAAGGACAAAAAAAAAAACAACAAAAAACCCACCAGCCCUCAACUGGAGGCUAUCCACUCCAGGAAACCUAUAAGGGACAGGGACUCCGCACCAUUAUACAAUUUUGCCCACCCCCACAUAUUACAGACAAAAGAAUACUUAAUUUUCUGUAUAGCUAGCUCCCUCCCCUUCCCCCUAAAUGCUAAUCUAUUCCUUUCCUUCCACACCGUCCAAAAAAUAAACAACGGUAUGGAUCUCCAUAUUCUCUUCCUCUUUUUGCCCACAAAAGAACCCUUCCAACUGAUAAUCACCUCCUUUACAGUUUCUGGAAAGACCCACUGGGCUCCAAACAGGCUAAAAACAAUCCCCCACAACACACUAGCCACUGUACAAUGUAUAAGAAGAUGAUUAACAUUUUCCUCUUCACUACCACAUAAAUAACACCGGUUAGGGAUUUGUCAUCCUCUCUUUUGAAGCCUAUCAAUAGUAAGGAUCCUCCCCCAAGUAGCUUCCCACGCAAAAAACGCUAACUUGGAAGGCACAUUCUCCACCCAAAUGUCCUUUUUGGGGAACAGAGAUGUACUAUGGUUGGUCAACAGUCCAUACGCAUCCUUGAAACCAAACUUCCCAUUUUUUCCCCCCUUCCACAAGGCCAAAUCCUCCUCCAAAGUAAUUCUUUGAUUCCUUAGGAUUUGCAACAAUUCGUCAACCAAGGCCAGCUCCCAAUCAUUGAAGCUUCUAAAAAACCUUAGGUUCCAGCCUCCUUGGCCAGCAUUCUGGUCCCAUAAUUCCCCCACAGUGGCACUUUUUUGGGCAGCCACAUUGAAGAGUUGAGGGAAUCUCCGGGCCAGCUCCACAUCCCCGCACCAAGUGUCUUUCCAAAACCUGAUUUUGGUGCCUUUUCCCACCUUAAGAGUCAUAUUGUUCCAACACCAAUAUGCUUCUUUCAUAAUCUCCUUCCAAAGCCCAACCCCAAAUGCCCCAUUUGUUUUUUUAGUUCUCCACCCAAAUUCCUCUUGCUCGUAUUUUGCCACAAGAACACGUUUCCACAUUUCAUCUUUGGCACGAGCAAAUCUCCAAACCCAUUUUCCAAGAAGGGCUUUGUUCAACUGGACUAUUUUCCUCAAGCCAAGCCUCUCCUUCUCUUUGCUCACACACACCUUCUCCCAACUGACUAGGUGUGCUUUUCUUCCCGUGCUUCCCCCUCCCCACAAGAAGUCUCUUUGCAAUUUUUCAAGUCUUCUCGCCACUCCCUUAGGCAUACGGAAUAGGGACAGCUGGUAUAAUGGCAUGCUAGCUAGUGUGCUCUUUAUGAGGGUGAUUCUACCACCCUUAGACAAGUAUUGCCGCUUCCAUAGGGCUAGUUUCCACCUCAUCCGUUCUUCCACCGUAUCCCACACAUACCCCGCUUUAUUAGGAGCGCCCAGGGGCAGCCCCAGGUAGGUUGAAGGCAGCUAACCCACCUUGCAGCCCAGCUCCACAGCCAUCCCAAGGAUCUCAUCCACCUCCCCCACUGGAAUAAUUUCGCUCUUGGCCAAAUUAAUCGUCAGCCCAGAAGCGGCUUCAAACCAGCAUAAGGUCCAACUCAAAAAAGUCAUAUCUUCUUUCUUAACUUCAUAGAAAACUAUUGCAUCGUCCGCAAAAAGAAGGUGAGAGAUAUUAACAGCCUGCCCCCUACCCCUCUGUAUUCUACAUCCCGUGAUGCAGCCCCCUUCCAUAGCCCUCCGAAGAAGAGCACUCAGCACCUCCAUUCCCAUGAUAAACAAAUAUGGGGAUAGAGGGUCGCCUUGCUGAAGCCCCUUAGAGCUAGGGAAAAACCCGACUGGCUCCCCAUUUACUAAAAUUGAGAACUUGGCAGUCGAUAUGCAGCUCCAUAUCCGCUCCCUCCACUUAGUCCUAAAGCCCAUUUUCUCCAUUACCCUCAUCAAAAAUUGCCAAUUGACGCUGUCGUACGCCUUUUCAAUAUCUAGCUUACAGAUCAAGCCCUUCUUUUCCUCUUUUUUCCAUGAGUCAAUCACCUCAUUUGCGAUUAGAGACGCAUCCAAAAUCUGCCUACCCGAGACAAACACGUUCUGGUCUGAGGAAAUCACUCCACCAAUCACGUUUUUAAUCCUAUUGGCCAGCACCUUAGCCAAGAGUUUGUAUAAUCCACCCAACAGACUGAUCAACCUGAAGUCCCCUAGCUCCUCCGCUCUUCCUUUCUUAGGGAUCAGAACCAAAAACGUGGCAUUGAGACUCUUGAGGAAAGUAUUAUGCUCAUGGAAUUCCUUGAACAUCUCCAUAACCUCCUCUUUCACAAACUCCCAACAGAAUUGCCAAAAAGCUCCCGUAAAGUCGUCCGGACUUGGAGUCUUGUCCCCAUUCAUGUCCCUUAGAGCUGAAUGAACCUCCUCUUCCAUGAAUGGCAGCUCCAAGAUGUCCGCCUCUUGCUGGCUAAUCCGAUUCAGAUUGACACCCCCUAUGUCUGCCUUCUACUCCGAGUCUUCCGUUAAUAACCGAUGAAAGACGUUAACAAUUUCGGUCCUCAUUGUACGCUCCUCUAACAACCAGACCCCACUGAUUUUUACUCUUUCCAUUGUAUACCUUCUUCGAUACGCAUUUGCCAUUCGAUGAAAAUACCCCAUAUUUUUAUCCCCUUCUCUUAGCCACAACUCCCUUGAUAGUUGUCACCAGUGGAUCUCAUCCAUCUUGACCCAUUUAGCAUAGCCUUCUUUCGCUUCUUUAUUACUGGCAAAUUCCUCCUUAGACAGCCUCCUCUCACUUUCCACUUGGUCCCAAUAAUCCACUUGCUGUAAGGCAGCCAAUUUAUUACUCUCCAAGUUCCCAAACGCCUCCAUGUUCCAGAUUUUUAAGUUUUGCUUCAUCCCCUUCAGUUUUGUUGCCAACUUAUAGCUAGCCCUACCACUGACCACCAUCUCCUGCCACCAACUCCUCAAAAGGUCCUUAAAUCUUUCCACUCUCAGCCACAUGUUCUCGAACCUGAAAGGUGAAGGGCCUCUUCUUUUACCACCCCCCUCGAUUGUGAUUGGAAAAUGAUCUGAGAUAGGUCGAGAUGAUCUCUUCUGAGUCACAUUGCUGAACUGAUCAAGCCAUCUGGGAGAUACCAAAAAUCUAUCUAGCCUGGCCUAGGCUUGAUUAUAAAGUCUCCCACUCCACGUGAAAGAGCCCCUUGAAGUGGGAGGUCAAUAAGCUCCAGGUCAUCCAUAACCUGAGCAAACCUCCUCAUAGCUGGGGUCACCCUCCCUUACCUGCUUCUCUCCUCUUGAGCGAAGAUAACAUUAAAAUCACCCCCUACACACCAUGGGUCACCCCAAAGGCCUCUGACUGCUCCAAGCUCAUCCCAAAGACACUCCCUAUCCUUUUUUUUGAAGGGGCCAUAUACACUCGUAAAAACCCAGACUGUCCCAUUUUCCAUAGUCCUAAAUUUACAAGAAACUGAGAAUUGGCCCUCCUCCCACUCCAGCAAUUCCAAGGACCUUUUAUCCCAACAAACCAACNNNNNNNNNNNNNNNNNNNNNNNNNNNNNNNNNNNNNNNNNNNNNNNNNNNNNNNNNNNNNNNNNNNNNNNNNNNNNNNNNNNNNNNNNNNNNNNNNNNNUCCAGCAAUUCCAAGGACCUUUUAUCCCAACAAACCAACACCCCUCCAGCUACUCAAGCAGCUUCAAGAGUUCUCCAGUCUAAGAAUCUCCCCACCCCUAAACUUUUCACCACCCCAUCAGUCAUUGAUUGGAUUUUUGUCUCCUGGAUACACAUCAAAUCCACCUUCUGUUUUCUAACCACAGACUUAAUAAUCCUUCUUUUAUUAACGUCAUUUGCACCCCUCACAUUCCAACUCAUCAGCUUGAGAUUCGUUAACCCAACAGUAAUUGACCCCAUCUGCUUUUCAACAGGUUGUUCUUCUUUUCCUUCCUCUUGUAUUUGACUAAGCAUUCCAACCUUUUGAGUUCCCUCUCAAAUUUUGUUUUCUCCAGUAACCCUUUGCUAUGUAUCCUUUCUCAUCUUUUCCUAAUUUUGGACAAGAAGUCCAGAAUCUCCCUCUCCAGACCUUCUAUUGAAAAUCCCAACAACUUGCUAAACUUGGCCAAGCUGUUUUCCUCCCAAUCAGACUCCUUCUUGCUCCUUUGAACUUGGGGCCCAGACAUGGCUGGAGUCCAAUCCAGGUUUUGAACCUCUAGGGCCUCACAGUCAAUCGCAACCAGGUCCCAACAACCCUCUCUCCUCGCUAUAUCCCCCCAUGUAGCUGCACCUUCUACCAUGUUUUCUCUCUGGCGGCUCACCCUUAAAACCCCAGAGUGGUCGGAAGGCUCCCUCACCGGAGUCCGACCAAAAAGAGGAGAAGAAUAAGAAGAGGAUUCCCCAACCCUUAGAUUAGAAUAGGACCCAUACCUGAAGGCUUCAUCCACGAUCUCUCUUUCAGCCAUGGAGCACUGGGGAGCCGGCAUCUGCUUAUCCCAAGUCUCCUUCUCCCGACACUUGAUGAACUCCAUUUCUAUCUUUAGGCCCAAGUCCUAUUCAGAUCCUAUGCCCAUGUUAUUAGACUGCCUUUGGCCCAAAUGGUCCCCAACCGAGAUAGCAGGCCCAUGGGAUAGGAGCUCCAGCCCUUUGGGGGCCCGUCCCUCAGCCGGCCCGCACCCUUCCCCAUCUGCAACCCAUACAUCCCCUUUUAAGGGAGUCGGGCCUUGCAUAACUAGCCCACAGUCCCACUUUCGGCCCACAAUGCCAAGCCUCGAUCCAGACGAACAAGACCCAUCGCCCAUGGGUCCAUAGCACUGUCGGGCCACCCGCCCGUUAAGGCUCCGAUUUUCAAACACAUCCCCCCCACCUGCUCCCCCGUCACUUCCUUUGACCGGUGCUGUUCCUUGGUUCCAGCGCCCGAUUUUUCUCCCACACGCCAUCCCGCGCGUGGAUCAGUAUCAUCCCUGACCUCCCCUCUCUGCUGCCCAAAAACAUCACGACCAUCCCCCUGUUUUUUCCUUAUUGUCGGUGGAAUCUCCCACCAUAGGGAGACGACGUAUAUCUCCCCCUCCACCCCAAUCUCCACUGAGCUCGGCAAGGCCCCUCCAAUCAUUUUUACCUGAAUCCUUGCCCAUUCCAGUAUCCCCUUGUUUUUUCCUUAUUGUCGGCGGAAUCUCCCACCACAGGGAGACGACGUAUAUCUCCCCCUCUACCCCAAUCUCCACUGAGCUCGGCAAGGCCCCUCCGAUCAUUUUUACCUGAAUCCUUACCCAUUCCAGUUCCUCUUUCUUUUCCGUUAGAGGGUCGAUGCCUAGGAACCCGCCGCACUCUUCCCCCACUCUCCUCAGGACUGACGGCACCCACAGUGAGAUAGGAAGACCCAGGAUCCUCACUCAAGCAUCAUUCCUAUCUUCAUCCUUUGCACAGCAUCCAAAACUCGGGCUCCACAUCUCCAAGCCCAGUUGGAUCCCUCCAACUGCUCUCACCCCCUCGGCAAGAACCCUCUUAGCUUCUUCCACCAUCUCAAAUUCCAGCAAAGCACAACCCUUUCCCAUUCUAGCCAGGUCUAAUUUGCCUUUCAAUCCCCACGCUUUUGUCGCUGACCACCCCAGACUCGCUAAUUCCUCUUCGCGUGCUGAUUUAGGGUUCCAUUUAGCGAUCAGACAUUGCUUUAGUCUGCUUACAUUGUUUCGUAUCUCCUCCUCCUUUAUCUCUAUUCUUGCCCUUGAGGUAUUCCUGGUCUCUGAGCCCCUGACCACUUCCAAAUACGACCUCCCGGAGUCCCCUACCCCUUGAUCAACUACCUCUUCCUCGCGCCGAAACCCUACCCACAAUAAGGAUUCCACCAUAGAAACCCAUCAUCCCUUUUCCCCUUUCCCUUUCGGUAUACAGAUACCAAAUCUCCUUUUCUCCAUGUCCGUCACCCCUAAGCAAAUAAAACUCCCGGCCUUGUUAGCCUCUCUCACUAGGGAAUAUAACCUCCCUUUUUCUUUCCAUCCCUUCUCCCAUCUUCCAUCUUUUCCAUCCUUCGCGCACUGGAUCAGUCCUUCUAUGAGUAGCCCCACACUCGCUGGCCCCAGCCGAACCCACGACACUACCCCUCCCUUGCUUUCCAAGAUAAUGGCAUGGCUCUUUCCAUUUCUCUCCUCAGCUAUUACUUCAAACAUCUUUGAUUCCACCACGAAGCUACUUCUCUUCCUCUUCCCUCGAUUCUCCGCCCUGCUUUCCCCUUCUCCGCCUUCGCUCACAGGAUCGCCCUCGUUCUCUCUCAUCUCUCAAUUUUCCAAUAUAUAUAUGCAUUUCACACAACCAUAAUGUAUAUGACAUGCAAUGAGAUUAAUUAUCCUCAUUCACAAGUAUCACAAAUAUUAGAUAAAAUUCUCACUAAUUCAAAUAUAAAUAAAAUUACAAUUUAUACCAUGAUUUCAUUGUUUCUCAACCAUCUCAAUAAAUUCUAAUAAUCAAAUAAAAUUAUUUUUCCACAAUUAAAUUACCAAAAACAACCAAAUAAAUCCUCCAUAAUUCAAAUAUCAACUAAACAUAAUUUAUACUAAAAUUGUAUUAUUUCUCAACAAUCCCAAUAAAUUCCAGUAACCAAAUGCAAUUAUUUUCCACAAUUAUUUAUAACACAAAAAUUUCAAGGAAAAUUCCUAAAUCACCCAAUAAAAUUUCUCGUAUCAUAAAUAUUACUUAUUUAACUUUCAACAAUGAGAUUUAUAAUUUUUUUUUUAAAGAAAAAGACAUUAAAUAAAAGUUUUAGGGUUAAGUCUCCUUACCACAGAUCUAAUAAUCCCACUGUUGAAAACGAAAUCCGACAUCAUACGAAUUUUCUUUGUGUUGAGUAAAGUGUUCCCUCAAAAUUUCACAUGAAAAUAAGCACAUUUGGCCGUCGAAAUGGC